rnacentral:rRNA from 1 species
UGCGUAGGCGGUUUGGUAUGUCGGGUGUGAAAUCUCACCGCUCAACGGUGAAACUGCAUCCGAAACUGCCGGACUCGAGUACAGGAGGGGAGAGCGGAAUUCUCGGUGUAGCGGUGAAAUGCGUAGAUAUCGAGAAGAACGCCGGCGGCGAAGGCGGCUCUCUGGACUGAUACUGACGCUGAGGCACGAAAGCUGGGGGAGCGAACA